UCUCCGUUGGUGAACCAGCGGAGGGAUCAUUACCGAGGUUUUCUCCUCCCAAUCCUCUGUGAACUUAUUCCUUUACUGUUGCUUCGGCGGGUUAACGCCCCGGAAGGUCCAAAAAGCCGCCGGAACCAGCAGCACGCCUGGGGGCCCAAACUCUUGUAUUUCUUACUUUGCAUGUCUGAGUGGAAUCAUAAACAAAUGAAUCAAAACUUUCAACAACGGAUCUCUUGGUUCUGGCAUCGAUGAAGAACGCAGC
rnacentral:misc_RNA from 1 species